rnacentral:rRNA from 1 species
AUUGAACGCUGGCGGCGUGCCUAACACAUGCAAGUCGAGCGGUAACAGGUGUAGCAAUACAUGCUGACGAGCGGCGGACGGGUGAGUAACGCUUGGGAAUCUGCCUGUUAGUGGGGGACAACCCGGGGAAACUCGGGCUAAUACCGCAUACGCACUACGGUGGAAAGCCGGGGACCGCAAGGCCUGGCGCUAACAGAUGAGCCCAAGUCGGAUUAGCUAGUUGGUAGGGUAACGGCCUACCAAGGCGACGAUCCGUAACUGGUCUGAGAGGACGACCAGUCACACCGGAACUGAGACACGGUCCGGACUCCUACGGGAGGCAGCAGUGGGGAAUAUUGGACAAUGGGCGAAAGCCUGAUCCAGCGACGCCGCGUGGGUGAAGAAGGCCUGCGGGUUGUAAAGCCCUUUCGGUGGGAAGAAAGCCUCGAGUUAAUACCUCGGGUCUUGACGUAACCCAUAGAAGAAGCACCGGCUAACUCUGUGCCAGCAGCCGCAGUAAC